AUUGAACGCUGGCGGCAUGCCUUACACAUGCAAGUCGAACGGCAGCACGGGAGCAAUCCUGGAGGCGAGUGGCGAACGGGUGAGUAAUAUAUCGGAACGUGCCCAGUCGUGGGGGAUAACGUAGCGAAAGCUACGCUAAUACCGCAUACGAUCUAUGGAUGAAAGCGGGGGAUCGCAAGACCUCGCGCGAUCGGAGGGGCCGAUAUCAGAUUAGGUAGUUGGUGAGGUAAAGGCUCACCAAGCCGACGAUCUGUAGCUGGUCUGAGAGGACGACCAGCCACACUGGGACUGAGACACGGCCCAGACUCCUACGGGAGGCAGCAGUGGGGAAUUUUGGACAAUGGGCGCAAGCCUGAUCCAGCAAUGCCGCGUGCAGGAUGAAGGCCUUCGGGUUGUAAACUGCUUUUGUACGGAACGAAACGGCGAGCUCUAAUACAGUUUGCUAAUGACGGUACCGUAAGAAUAAGCACCGGCUAACUACGUGCCAGCCGCCGCCGUAA
rnacentral:rRNA from 1 species